AGUCGAGCGAACAGACGGGGAGCUUGCUCCUCUGACGUUAGCGGCGGACGGGUGAGUAACACGUGGAUAACCUACCUAUAAGACUGGGAUAACUUCGGGAAACCGGAGCUAAUACCGGAUAAUAUAUUGAACCGCAUGGUUCAAUAGUGAAAGACGGUUUUGCUGUCACUUAUAGAUGGAUCCGCGCCGCAUUAGCUAGUUGGUAAGGUAACGGCUUACCAAGGCAACGAUGCGUAGCCGACCUGAGAGGGUGAUCGGCCACACUGGAACUGAGACACGGUCCAGACUCCUACGGGAGGCAGCAGUAGGGAAUCUUCCGCAAUGGGCGAAAGCCUGACGGAGCAACGCCGCGUGAGUGAUGAGGGUCUUCGGAUCGUAAAACCCUGUUAUUAGGGAAGAACAAAUGUGUAAGUGACUAUGCACGUCUUGACGGUACCUAAUCAGAAAGCCACGGCUAACUACGUGCCAGCAGCCGCGGUAAUACGUAGGUGGCAAGCGUUAUCCGGAAUUAUUGGGCGUAAAGCGCGCGUAGGCGGUUUUUUAAGUCUGAUGUGAAAGCCCACGGCUCAACCGUGGAGGGUCAUUGGAAACUGGAAAACUUGAGUGCAGAAGAGGAAAGUGGAAUUCCAUGUGUAGCGGUGAAAUGCGCAGAGAUAUGGAGGAACACCAGUGGCGAAGGCGACUUUCUGGUCUGUAACUGACGCUGAUGUGCGAAA
rnacentral:rRNA from 1 species